rnacentral:rRNA from 1 species
GUAGGGAAUAUUGGACAAUGGGCGAAAGCCUGAUCCAGCCAUGCCGCGUGUGUGAAGAAGGUCUUCGGAUUGUAAAGCACUUUAAGUUGGGAGGAAGGGCAGUAAGUUAAUACCUUGCUGUUUUGACGUUACCGACAGAAUAAGCACCGGCUAACUUCGUGCCAGCAGCCGCGGUAAUACGAAGGGUGCAAGCGUUAAUCGGAAUUACUGGGAGUAAAGCGCGCGUAGGUGGUUUUGUAAGUUGGAGGUGAAAUCCCCGGGCUCAACCUGGGAACUGCCUCCAAAACUGCAUGACUAGAGUACGGUAGAGGGUAGUGGAAUUUCCUGUGUAGCGGUGAAAUGCGUAGAUAUAGGAAGGAACACCAGUGGCGAAGGCGACUACCUGGACUGAUACUGACACUGAGGUGCGAAAGCGUGGGGAGCAAACAGGAUUAGAUACCCUUGUAGUCC